CUUUUUUUUCUUGUAAGUUUUGUAUUAUGCCUGAAUAAUUGGUCGAAACUGACUCUAAGGAGUUGUGCGUAGCGCAAACAAUGGAGACGUUUUUAAAACAUGUCUUGCCUGGUUUAGGAGCUUUAACCUCCAGCAUAAUGUACGGGUCUUCCAUACCAGGUGUUUAUAAAGCUAGGAAAUUAGAAAAAUUCAAUGAAAUGAAUCCGCUUACAUAUGUCUCACUCUGCGGCUUGGCUAAUUUACGGGUUUUCGCAGGAACCGUUUAAUUUCUAUCUUAUAGCUUGCUCCUUUUUUGGUUUUUGUGCCUCCUUGUGGUGUUUCUUAGGCGUAUAUUCCCUUUGUACCUUUAAAAAACUGUUAAUCUUGACGGAAGCUCUUUUUUUCUUUCUCAUUAUAGAACUUUUUUCCAUCUCUUGCACUUGUAUGCUACUUCCUUUUUUGAGAAGAAAACCGUUUAUAGAGUACGUAUGUAUCUGUCACUCAAUCAUAUUCUACGCAGCUCCUUUUUCACGCAUCAUUAAAAUAAUUAAGGAGAUGAAUUCCAUCUACGUUUACUUGCCUCUUGCGUUUGCUAACUUAGUGGAUUUGAGUCUUUGGAUGGCUUGGGGCGCGGUAGAGAAGGAUUGGUUGUUUGUCAUCCCUUGUUGUAUAGGAGCGUUUUGUGCUGUUUGUCAAAUAGUUGUUGGCUUGGUAAUACCAAGAAAAUCUUUAACGAAUAAGGAAGAAAAAGAUACUGUAAGUAAUGUAGGUAAUUUCCUUACUGACUGGCGAAAGAGUGAUUCUUGAAGUUCAUAUGGUUGGUGUUAUGCCUGAAUGUACUAAUAAAUCUUUGAAUAGUUGCUACUGGAAGAUUUGUAAACCAUUCAAGGUAGGGUUGAAA